ensembl:snoRNA SNORD97 small nucleolar RNA, C/D box 97
AUGCCCACUGAUUAUAAAAAGACGCGUUAUUCUGAGGAAUACAACCUGCCACCAGUCUUUCUUCUUCCUUUUACUCUCUCUUAGAUCUCCUCUCCAUCUUUCCUCACCUCUCUCUCCUCUCCCCUUUCAACCGGUGGCUGGUCCGCUGACUGCGAUUAUGAGAUAUGAGGGCAU